rnacentral:rRNA from 1 species
UACGUAGGGAGCGAGCGUUAUCCGGAAUUAUUGGGCGUAAAGGGUGCGUAGAUGGCAUAGUAAGUCUUUUGUAAAAAUGCUGGGCUCAACCCAGUAGGGCAAAAGAUACUGCAAAGCUAGAGUAUGACAGAGGCAAGUGGAACUACAUGUGUAGCGGUAAAAUGCGUAAAUAUAUGUAAGAACACCAGUGGCGAAGGCGGCUUGCUGGGUCGAUACUGACAUUGAGGCACGAAAGCGUGGGGAGCAAACAGG